GCUUAUUGUGUUUUCCUAUUGGUAUCUCUUAAAAUUCUGAUGUUAUUGAGUUUUUCUUGUCAUGCCAGGUAUUGUGAUCAAUCAGAUAUUGAUUUCCUAGUUGCAUGACAACUGUGGAAGUUGUCAUACAACUAUACAGCUGUAUUCACCUGUUUGUUGACAAAGAAACAAGCAACAGUUAUGGUUCGUUUGGUUGGAGCCCUUUGUCAACAAAGGGAGAGAGGACCAAGUCAAACGUAUCCGAAAGGUACGGGGUUACAAGAUGGAAGCUUAGCCACGGUUUAUUGUCAAACAAAUAGACACGGCUGUCGGAGCCCUUUGUGCGCAGGGCAUUUGACGAACCGGGCACUCAAAUGACGCUAAAGACUUUUCACUUGAGGUCUGGUGUGGCUGGUGUGGCACCGAUGAACCUCACACAGGAACUUUCUGGAUUAAGGAAAUCAUUAACGCCCUAAAGGCCUUCAGUACACCUGUUAUCUCCACCCAGCUUCUAAUUGUUGACGACCCGGAAUAUGCGCGACAAGUUAAAGGAAGGAUCAAAAACAAUUUUCGGAGAAAUAAAUUAAACAAUUUUUCGUUAUUAAUAUUUUUCAAUUGUCUUUUUAGGUGACGGGAUAUUUCGAUGAAGUAUAACUGCCUGAUGAUGUUUAAUGUCGAUUAAAUUAGACAUUAACCGAAUCCGCUUGCUAAAACUCGAGGUGGCUGCAAAUUCUAUCCAGUAGAGCCUCUGUAUACAUGUAAACUGAAAAUAAAGCCUGCUUUCAUCGAAGUCAUUAGUGAACAAUACAAAUUGUAAAGCUGUGCUCCAUCUGCAAAAUCGUCAAUGUAUCUGUGAGGCAGUACCUCAAAGAACAAUUGCCUAGGGACUUCAUACAGGGUUUGCCAACUGCUAGCCGAGCUGUCAUCAACAUCGACGAUACAAGGAAACCGCAUAGAUAGUGUGUUUAUCUGUUAACUGCUUCAAAUUGGCUCAGAAUUAGGCAGCAAUUUUGGAAGUUGUUGCUUUCUCAGUAUGAAUGAGCUUCAAUGUUGGUGUUGCAGGUGUUACCCAUGUUACGUUGACUGUUUGGAUUCCUAUUCAUUAACAUUUCAAAACCAAAUUCAUCUUCUUAAAAUUGACUUGAAAGGAUUUGGAUCAUUCUAGGAACAUAUCUAUCAAAGAUGCAAAGCUCUAAUGGGAUUAAUUUAUCCGUCAAGUACGUUUUCAUUUGCAGUCUGUAUGUCCUUUCCGAAGGCUCUGCCAGAAGAAUAUGCUAAAUAAUGAAUUUAUGAAUCGCGUAAGUUACACGAGCAAGAAUUUUUAUGCCUAACGAUGUUUUAUUUUCUUAAUAUAGAUUAAUGAUAAACUUGGAUCUGAAAAGGUUCCUUGGUUGGGGCGAGACACCGAAUAAAGUUUAAUGAUUGGAUGCACUA